rnacentral:rRNA from 1 species
ACGGAAGGCAGCAGUGGGGAGUAUUGCACAAUGGGCGCAAGCCUGAUGCAGCAACGCCGCGUGAGUGAAGAAGUAUUUCGGUAUGUAAAGCUCUAUCAGCAAGGAAGAAAAUGACGGUACUUGACUAAGAAGCUCCGGCUAAAUACGUGCCAGCAGCCGCGGUAAUACGUAUGGAGCAAGCGUUAUCCGGAUUUACUGGGUGUAAAGGGAGCGUAGACGGCUUUGCAAGUCUGAAGUGAAAGCCCGGGGCUCAACCCCGGAACUGCUUUGGAAACUGUAGAGCUAGAGUACAGGAGAGGUAAGCGGAAUUCCUAGUGUAGCGGUGAAAUGCGUAGAUAUUAGGAGGAACACCAGUGGCGAAGGCGGCUUACUGGACUGUAACUGACGUUGAGGCUCGAAAGCGUGGGGAGCAAACAGGAUUAGAUACCCUGGUA